GAUAUUAUCCCCUUGUAGUGUAGUUUAAUAGCUAUCUACAUAAUAACUUAAUAUAAAGUAUAAUAGUUUAUAUUUUAUAAUAUGACGUUAACAAUUUUGUUUAAUAUUUGAAAAUGUUAGUAUUAGUAAUAUUAGUAUAUGUGCUAAAGGAACUCGGCAAAAAACCACUCAACUGUUUAUCAAAAACAUAGCUAUAUGCAUUAAUAUAUAGUUAUUUCUGCUCAAUGACUUAAAUAGCCGCAGUACUCUGACUGUGCAAAGGUAGCAUAAUCAGUUGGCUUUUAAUUAGAGUCUGGUAUGAACGAAAAUAUGGGUAGUAACUGUCUUAGCACAUUUUUUCGAACUUAUUAAACAAGUGCAAAUGCUUGUAAUUUAACAAUAGACGAGAAGACCCUAGAAACUUGGACAAGUUUUUGUUGGGGCGACAGAAUUACACUUAACUAAUCUUAUAAUACACGACGCGAUGUUGAAAGAAUAAGUUACUCUAGGGAUAACAGCAUAAUUUCAUUAGUUUGUGACCUCGAUGUUGGACUAGGUACUAUACCCUUAAGGCAAGGAUAUAUUAUGCUCUGUUCGAGCAAAAUUACCUACAUGAUCUGAGUUCAGACCGG
rnacentral:rRNA from 1 species